GCAAGAAUGGUUUAGUGGUAAAAUCUCAACGUUGCUCAUCGUUGGGCCCCGGGUUCGAUUCCUCGGGUUCUUGCA